rnacentral:rRNA from 1 species
CAACUUUUAACAACGGAUCUCUUGGUUCUUGCAUCGAUGAAGAACGUAGCAAAGUGCGAUAACUAGUGUGAAUUGCAUAUUCAGUGAAUCAUCGAGUCUUUGAACGCAUCUUGCACCUGCUGGUAUUCCAGCAGGUACGCCUGUUUCAGUAUCA